rnacentral:rRNA from 1 species
CCUACGGGUGGCAGCAGUGAGGAAUAUUGGUCAAUGGACGAGAGUCUGAACCAGCCAAGUAGCGUGAAGGAUGACUGCCCUAUGGGUUGUAAACUUCUUUUAUAUGGGACUCAAAUGUUCCACGUGUGGGAUUUUGUAUGUACCAUAUGAAUCAUGAUCGGCUAACUCCGUGCCAGCAGCCGCGGUAAGACGGAGGAUCCGAGCGUUAUCCGGAUUUAUUGGGUUUAAAGGGAGCGUAGGUGGAUUGUUAAGUCAGUUGUGAAAGUUUGCGGCUCAACCGUAAAAUUGCAGUUGAGACUGGCAGUCUUGAGUACAGUAGAGGUGGGCGGAAUUCGUGGUGUAGCGGUGAAAUGCUUAGAUAUCACGAAGAACUCCGAUUGCGAAGGCAGUUCACUGGACUGCAACUGACACUGAGGCUCGAAAGUGUGGGUAUCAAACAGGAUUAGAUACCCCAGUAGUC